GGACAAACAGCAAGGUCGGUUGCAGGGGGCCACCCUUACGGACCGACGCUACGCUAGGCCGCGGUGUGAGUUUAAAUCUCUUCUUCGCCGGGAAUGGAACGUUUCGCUGACCGAGCCCACUUUUCAAACAGGGGAAACUAUGGAAACAGCUCGCGGCUGCCAACGGAUCCCGCUGCGGCAAUGGCUCUGCACACUGGCUGGGAAUCACUUCCGGGACAUUAGGCAUACCCACCUGGGACAUGGAAUGGAUGAAUAAGCACCUGGAGCACUGUUGCUCAACUGUUUUGUCACCUCCUCUCUAUUCUUACUGCUGCAUGCAAUCCUUUCCAAAGAAAAUAACAGGAUGGAUGUAGAAAUAGUAUCUAAUCCCACUUGUAACUUUCAGAUUCGUAACGAACGGAUUGUCCGCACUUUACUGCCUUGUUUGUGGGAACUUGCUGCGUGUAAAUUGGCUUUCCCAGUGGCUACAUUACAACCGCGAUUUUAUUGUGCUGGAAAGCUUUUUAAGACUUCCAAUGAAGUUGCAAACGUCUUUGUUUUGUAAUUUUUUCAAUCAAUUUGUUCUGAUGUCUUGUGACACAUCUCUGGUACAGGUGAGUCUUGAACCCGGCGCUGUUAGCUUAUAGGCAGUAGCACCGUUGUAGCGUUCGCCCUCAAUCAGUUGCCAUGACAGGAUUUGAAAUAAUUUUCUUUUAUAUAAUUGUCAUGAAGUAACUUGUUGCAGGACAAACAGAUGCAACAAUUUGGAUGGGAACUGCUUCCCUUUCCCUGGCUACUAUUUAUUCAUUUUAUUUGCUUUUAAAUUUCUUAAACAUGUUGUAUUUACAUGAUGUUAUCUCCUCAGGGUAGACCAACAUAUUUCAAAUACAGUAAGUUACUUUUGAAGACCUGUUCUCAUUAAAUUCACAUGUUUGAACACUGCAUUGUUUCACAAACAGAAAAUGUGAUGAAUAAUCGAUGGACUUGAUGUUGAUAGUGUUGGUUAUUGCAGAAAUGCUUACACUCCCUGAGGACUUUGAUAUCUACCUGAAAGCGGACGGUAUUGUCUGAGGCAUUACAACCUAAUCAGGUUCAGAUCUUGUGGUGAGUUUACACCUUCUGAUUCAGAGGAAAGCAUGCUACUACUGGAGCCAAAAUGUCACAUUACUGCUUGAUUGUGCAGCUGGGUCAUCUCAAUUCUCAGUCAAUGGCACAUUGUUCAGUAGCUCGCAAAAUAAUUUCAAAUGAUUGGUAAUAACUUGUAAGAUACAAAUUAUCUUGACAAAAAAAAAUCUUCUGGGUCAUUUUUGAUGUGAAUGAGUGCUAAAUCAAAUGUGGCAACUUUUACUGUUAAUGAUUGUGUUCAGCAUAUUAACAUUUGCUGGAUUGUAAAUGAUUCAUGACUGAUGUAUGAGGAGAGACUGACUAGGUUAGGAUUGUUUUCGCUGAAACUCAGAUGAAUGAAGGAGGAUCUCUUUAAGAUUCUACAAGACUAGACAAGGUAGAUGCUGCAGGGAGGAUAUUCCUGACGCUGGAUGUGUCCAGAACCAAUGGUCGCAGUCUGAGGAUUCUGGGUAGUCCACUUAGGACAGAGAUGAGACGACAUUUCUUCACCGAAACAGCAGUGAGCCUGUGGAAUUCGUUACCACAGAAAGUUGUUGAUGCCAAAACAUUGAAUGUAUUCAAGAGGUGGCUAGAUAUAGCACUUGUAGUGAAUGGGAUAAAAAGUUAUGGGGCGAAAGCAGGAUUAGGCUAUUGAGUUGGACAAUCAGCCAUGAUCGUGAUGAAUGGCGGUACAGGAGGAGGUUAAUAAGCCCUCUCUUCUAUUUUUCUAUGAUGUAUAAAACAGAUGUAGUGACUUUUGGUGUAUGUUUCAGUUCUUAUUCUUCCUCAGCAGUCCCUUGCGGUGGAGGCUGACCUGGUUUAAUAGGUUCUUGGAUGGCUGAUAGUCCAAUGCACAGUUUGCAGGUUCCAUAAUGUGGGGCAGGUGCUGGUUUGAAGGGUUGGAUAAAUGGGCUGUUUGGUGAUUGUAGUGUACCCUGUGAAGCCUUAGGUUUCCCUGCAAGUUCCUAAUGAAGUGUCGUCUUGUGUUCAAUGCAUUCCUAGAUGAGUCUUCUCAAUUAUGGUCAACUGCAAACCAGCUUCAGUUAACUUUAUGACUGAAGAUACUUCAAGAUUAAUGGGGAGUAAGAUAGUAAAAUAAAGUUGGACAUGGUGCUCUUUUACCUCUGAUACCACAACACAUUUAUUUUCAUUGCCAGGAAAAAGUAUAGUUUCUCAAUGUUUCAAAUUAUGUUUGUUUUCAUUUAAGGUAAAUAAUUGAAAUUGAACGGUUCAAGGUAGUAAUACUUAAAUGAACGCAUGGACCAAUACUUUACCUAUAGCUUCCAUAAACAGUGAACUUACAUGUUAAUCUCUCAGGAAUUAGCUUUUGCCAGCUGUAGUUGAGGUGAAAUCUUAAAAUAAGUGAACAUUUUUAUCCUGGCAUUUUGAACAUUUAUUGCCACUUUUAUUUCUUUUCAUAGCAUUGCCGGCUUGCAUUUAUAGGGUCUAUUCUGUGUGGUUUGACUCUUCGGUCCAACUCGUCCAUGCCAGCUAGGCAUCCCAAUAUGACCUUGUCCCAUUUGCCAGCAUUUUGCCCAUAUCUGUCUAAACCCUUCCUAUUUGUUUACCUAUCUGGAUGCCUUUUAAAUGUUGUAAUUGUAUGUGCCUCCACUACUUACUUUAGCAGCUCAUUUGACUCCCGCACCACACUGUGUGAAAAUGUCACCUCAGGCACUUUCUAAAUCUUUUUCCCUCUCACCUUGAACCUAUACCCUCUAGUUUGGACUACCCCACCCUAGGAAAAAGACCUUGGCUAUUCAACCUAUCUAUGCCCCUCAUGGUUUUAUAAACCUGUAUAAGGUCACCCCUCAGUCUUCAAUGCUCAAGGGUAAACGCCCAGCCUUUUUCCUAUAACUUUAAACUCUCCAGACCUGGCAAUAACCUUAAAUCUGUGUUCUCUCCAGUUUUAUUUUUCAAUAGAAUUGUAAGAAGGAUUCUAAAAGUGGCCUAACCAAUGUCCUGUUCAGCCGCAACAUGACAUCCCAAUUCCUAUACUCAAGUGUUCUGACCAAUGAAGGAAAACAUGCCAAAUGCCGCCUUCACCACUUGUCUACCUGCAACUCCACUUUCAAGGAACUAUGCACCUGUACCCCUAGGUCUUUGUUAGGCAAAGUUCCCCAGGGCCCUUCAAUUAACUAUACAUGUGUUUAGUUUUUCAUUAUUGUGUGGAAGCAUGCCAUCAAAGUCCACACUGACCCUCCAAAAAAAUCCCAAGACUACUCCCCUACCCUCUCCCUGUAACCCCAUGUUUACAAUGGCUAAUGCACCUAAUCUACACAUUCCUGAACCAUAGGGUGUAAUGUUUCCUUGAUAUUCCCUUUAGCAAACUCAACUGAAAAAUCAGAACUUCAUGAAAGGAAAGGACCUCUGAAUAGUCCAUUGAAGAUUGGCUUUAAGAUAGUUAUCAUACUUCUCAGAAUCUUUUUGUUUAAUGUGAGCUACGUAGAAUAAAUCAUGAAUCCUGUCUAUUCUUUUUGUUGAUAUCAGCUAAGACUGCACGAGAUGCUACAAAAACCCAUGAGGUACGUAUUACUGUAACUGUGGGUUCAGUGAAUGUGAGGAGAAAUACAUUUUUAAAAUAAUGGGAUAUGGUUUCAGUUCUUUAUGCAUUGAAAGCAUACAAUUUCUCCAGACAGAAACAGAAGGAACAGAGUCGCAAAUUAGAUCAUGAAAUAUAAGAGCAGAAGUGGACUACUUUAAAAUCUACUCUACUAAUCAAUGUGAUCACGGCUGACCUAAAAAUCCUCCACUCCAUUUUCCUGUCUUAACUCCAUAACCCUUGAUUCCCUUAUGGGUUUCAGUGGUUAGCACUGCUGCCUUACACCAGGGAUCUGGGUUCAGUUUCACUCCAGUGAUUGUGUGGAGUUUGUGUUCCCCCUGCGUCUGCACAGUUUCCCUCUGGGUGCUGUAAGAUUUCUGUAACUUGUAGCAUCUAAAUCAAUAAUAUAUAAUUAAGUGAUUGUAGCCCCAGUGCUGAUCCCUGUGGUUCUCUAGGUAUGUUGCCAUCCUGAAAAUGUCUUCCUGACCCCAACUCUGUCUUAUACCGGUUAUCCAAUUCAUGUUAAUACAGUACCCCCAACAUGGAUUCCAAGUAGCCUUACAUGUGAUACCUUAUUGAAUUUUUUUUAAGGAUCUAAAUAUGUUACAGCUACUGUUUCUGCUUUAUCUAUCAUGCUUGUUAUCUCUUCAAAGUGUCAGGCAUGAUUUCCUCUUCAUGAAACCAUGAUGAUGACUUUGUUUGAUUAUAUGAUGCUUUUCUAAAUGUCCUGUCAUUCUUUAUUGUGGACUCUAACGCUUUCUGAAUAACAAAUGUUAGGCUUAGUAGACUGUAGUUUUAGCUGCCUGUUUUUGAUUAAGGGUGUGACAUUGGAAAACUACCAAUCUUCUGGGACUUCUUCAUAAUAAUAAAGAUGCAUGGAAGAUUA